rnacentral:rRNA from 1 species
AUUGAACGCUGGCGGCAGGCUUAACACAUGCAAGUCGAGCGGAGUGAUGGUGCUUGCACUAUCACUUAGCGGCGGACGGGUGAGUAAUGCUUAGGAAUCUGCCUAUUAGUGGGGGACAACAUCUCGAAAGGGAUGUUAAUCCCGCAUACGUCCUAGGGGGAAAAGAAGGGAAUCAUUUGUGACCUUGGGCUAAUGGAGGAGCUAAAGUCGGAUUAGCAAGUGGGUGGGGUAAAGGCCUACGAAGGCGACGAUCUGUAGCGGGUCUGAGAGGAUGAUCCGCCACACUGGGACUGAGACACGGCCCAGACUCCUACGGGAGGCAGCAGUGGGGAAUAUUGGACAAUGGGGGGAACCCUGAUCCAGCCAUGCCGCGUGUGUGAAGAAGGCCUUAUGGUUGUAAAGCACUUUAAGCGAGGAGGAGGCUUACCUAGUUAAUACCUGGGAUAAGUGGACGUUACUCGCAGAAUAAGCACCGGCUAACUCUGUGCCAGCAGCCGCAGUAA